rnacentral:tRNA from 1 species
GGUAUAGCUCAGUUGGUAGAGUGCUUGUCUUACAAGCUCUAAGGCCCUGGGUUUAAUCCCCAGCACCA